AUGAACGCUGGCGGCGUGCUUCACACAUGCAAGUCGAACGGUGAACACGGAGCUUGCUCUGUGGGAUCAGUGGCGAACGGGUGAGUAACACGUGAGCAACCUGCCCCUGACUCUGGGAUAAGCGCUGGAAACGGCGUCUAAUACUGGAUAUGUGACGUGACCGCAUGGUCUGCGUUUGGAAAGAUUUUUCGGUUGGGGAUGGGCUCGCGGCCUAUCAGCUUGUUGGUGAGGUAAUGGCUCACCAAGGCGUCGACGGGUAGCCGGCCUGAGAGGGUGACCGGCCACACUGGGAUUGAGACACGGCCCAGACUCCUACGGGAGGCAGCAGUGGGGAAUAUUGCACAAUGGGCGAAAGCCUGAUGCAGCAACGCCGCGUGAGGGAUGACGGCCUUCGGGUUGUAAACCUUUUUUAGCAGGGAAGAAGCGAAAGUGACGGUACCUGCAGAAAAAGCGCCGGCUAACUACGUG
rnacentral:rRNA from 1 species